rnacentral:rRNA from 1 species
UACGAGAGGCCCAAACGUUAUUCGGAAUUACUGGGCUUAAAGAGUCCGUAGGCGGCAUGUUAGGUGAGGUGUGAAAUCCCACGGCUCAACCGUGGAAUUGCGCUUCAAACCGGCGUGCUUGAGGAAGAUAGAGGUGGGCGGAACUGAUGGUGGAGCGGUGAAAUGCGUUGAUAUCAUCAGGAACACCGGAGGCGAAGGCGGCCCACUGGGUCUUUUCUGACGCUGAGGGACGAAAGCUAGGGGAGCGAACGGG